rnacentral:rRNA from 1 species
UACGAAGGUCCCAAGCGUUAUCCGGAUUUAUUGGGUUUAAAGGGUGCGUAGGCGGAUUAUUAAGUCAGUGGUGAAAGCUCUCAGCCUAACUGAGAAAUUGCCAUUGAUACUGAUGAUCUUGAGUACAUUUGAAGUGGGCGGAAUGUGUCAUGUAGUGGUGAAAUACUUAGAUAUGACACAGAACACCGAUUGCGUAGGCAGCUCGCUAAACUGUAACUGACGCUGAGGCACGAAAGCGUGGGGGAGCAAACAGG